CAUUUAAAGGUUGGCAGUGGCAGUGAGGGUAUCCUGUUAGAGGUUUCAACCUACCUGUAGUUUUCUGUGGCUAUGACUCACUCCAUUGCUUGAGUAGAAUGGUGCCCACUGAUGUGGAUUGGUAAGGACAAGUUCUAUGGCUUCAAGACAGUCACUUAGUGGUUUCAUGGACACUUUUUGGGUAUUGAAUGGGAUGGAUGUUAUUCUGACUCACUUCAGGAUUGUACUG